UACAUGGGGUGCAAACGUUGCUCGGAAUUAUUGGGCGUAAAGCGCACGUAGGCGGUUUGUUAAGUCGGAUGUGAAAUCCCUCGGCUCAACUGAGGAAGUGCAUCCGAAACUGGCAGGCUUGAGUUCGGGAGAGGGAUGCGGAAUUCCAGGUGUAGCGGUGAAAUGCGUAGAUAUCUGGAGGAACACCGGUGGCGAAGGCGGCAUCCUGGACCGAGAUUGACGCUGAUGCGCGAAAGCCAGGGGAGCAAACGGG
rnacentral:rRNA from 1 species